GGAGGGGUGGGAGAGUGGUUAAAUCCAUCAGACUGUAAAUCUGACCGCUUAGCGUACGCUGGUUCGAAUCCAGCCCCCUCCACCA
rnacentral:tRNA from 8 species